rnacentral:rRNA from 1 species
AGCGAACGCUGGCGGCAGGCCUAACACAUGCAAGUCGAGCGGAUGAAGAGAGCUUGCUCUCUGAUUUAGCGGCGGACGGGUGAGUAAUGCCUAGGAAUCUGCCUGGUAGUGGGGGAUAACGUCCGGAAACGGGCGCUAAUACCGCAUACGUCCUACGGGAGAAAGCAGGGGACCUUCGGGCCUUGCGCUAUCAGAUGAGCCUAGGUCGGAUUAGCUAGUUGGUGAGGUAAUGGCUCACCAAGGCUACGAUCAGUAACUGGUCUGAGAGGAUGAUAAAUCACACUGGAACUGAGACACGGUCCAGACUCCUACGGGAGGCAGCAGUGGGGAAUAUGGGACAAUGGGCGAAAGCCUGAUCCAGCCAUGCCGCGUGUGUGAAGAAGGUCUUCGGAUUGUAAAGCACUUUAAGUUGGGAGGAAGGGCAGUAAGUUAAUACCUUGCUGUUUUGACGUUACCGACAGAAUAAGCACCGGCUAACUUCGUGCCAGCAGCCGCCGUAAAAC